GCCCUUGGCGCGCUCGCGGAGCGGCGAGCGGGCCAAACCGGUCGGGACAACUGGCAGCGACGAAGCAUCGACGAGGUAUGAGGCGAGCUCGCUGCUGCAGCUUAGAUCUCGGACGACUACCGUGGCCUGCAGGUUGAUGUGUGGAUUUUUGGGUGCUUAUCCUUGUGCUCAGCACCAUGGACGCCUCCACCGUUUUGCUGCCCAGGAGAAGCAUCUGCAACCUCGUCCCUCUCCCCUCGUACCUCCUUUCGGCUUCAGCCUGCAGUCACCUCCCUUUGGGUCAUAGGAAUCAGCAUCAGCCGAUGCCCCACAACGACGCACGGCCGCAUCCCCUGCAGGUCCAGGAAGCCAGGACGACUCACCGCUCCUCUCCAUUCCCGGUGAUAUUUCCUGCCCAGCACAAGGUUACGAGCUGCAGCGAGGGGCCGCAACCUGUCGGCGUGAGCAGCGUUCAAGACCAUCGGCGCCAUGCGUCGAGUGGAAACGGCGGGCACGGUCCAGACAUCAGGGAAGCUACUAUUCAACAGAGACACAAGUAACAACAACACGAGGUCUAUAUACUAUGAUCCGACCAUCUAAAACAAUCCAACGGUGUUUGACCCUUCCAGGUUCGAUCUGCAUAACAUGCCGAAGAACAAUAAUCCAAGAAAAAAAAGAGGGGUCAGCAUUGUUUUGCAGUAUUUCAUAUUUAGAGGAAAGAAUGUCAAAUUGAUUCUAAUUUUAAUUUUGGUUAUGACGCACUGCUACAUAUCUUGAAAUAGCAAGAUUCUAUUAACCAACUCUGUUACAGCUGACAGAGUUAAGCGUAUAAACUAGCGACAGAGGCUGCAAGCAUGGCUUACCUAAGUGGAGCGUCAUUUGUUGUUUAAAUUUCCUACUAUUUGUGAGCUGACACCAUGCUUCAUUCUCUGUUUCCAGAUACUGUGGUUCUGUCUUCGUGUCUGAUGGACUAUCACUUAAGUCUCGGGAUUUGCCGGCAUUGUUUCUAGCUGUUAGGUUGUACAUCAUCUCACCCACACAAUGCUGGAUUCAGAAAGUAUGGUUAAGCUCUACUGAUCUCUUUCCAAACUCUGAAGAUCAUUUGCAUUUGUCAAGUUGAUGAGGAUGGUCACUGGAUCAAGAUAUAUAGAAUGAAGAUCAUAAUGCAAAGUAAGUGUACAUGCGUGAUUCAUGACCGGUCAAGUAAUUACCAUACAACAAGUAGUAUCUACUUCCCUUUAUUAGAUGCAUCUGGUCAUUAUCCUUGAUUAAGUUGAUGCGCUGAAAAGCAAGCAACCGCUAAGCUUCCUAACAUUUAAUUUCAUAUACUGCACUUUUAAAUCGUAGAUUGACAUUAAUGUCAACAUCUCAUGGGUGAUAAGGAAACUAUCUUUGCAGAUGAAAUCUUGAAAUAUGGCCGGUCAUGCCAUGACAAUGUAAUAUUUUCCUUAAUCAUAUUAGAGCAUGUCCACCGUUCUGUCACCUGACAGUUGUUUAUCUAGCACAGGGGUAGUCUUUUUUGUUGUUAUUGUCUUUAAGAGUCUGUUCUGUUAGAUGACGUUUACCGAUAUUAUAAAUUUGCUUAACUGAGACUCUCAGCGUAUGUUGCACUUUUCUGGAUAUCUGGUCGGGAGUGUUGUCGAUAUGCAGAAAACUUUUUGCAGAUGCACAUCAUGAACUUGUGUCUUCCUUUUGUCAUUGCGUAUUUUGCCUCUGUUUCUUAUUCAGCAUCGUCGGUCAUAUUUUAAAUUGUAAGAUCACUCUCACUUGGAUAAUUGAACUUCUAUAAUUAAAUAAUCUGAUGCUCUCUCAUAGAAGUAUCAAGUGUUAUUUUCAUGAAACCAUGUCGUAUGAUUAUCUUUCAUGCAGUGAUAAGCUGGCUAUUCUGGCCUGUUUUGGUUCUAGAGUAACAUACAAGUUUUAACAUAGUCAUUGACGUUUCUUGAUUGAAUUUGUAGCUGUAGAAGUUUAUGUUCUUCCUUGCAUGGUCUGCAUUUUUAGAACUUCUACCGUCAAUUUCUUUUUGAACUUGUUAGUGCAUAAGAUUAAAAUUCAUGUGAUGCUAUCUCAUGCAUAUGGCAGUCUUUUUUGUGUAUAGAGAUGUCUUGGUAUAGUCCAGGUGUGUGUCCAGAUCUUAUUCAACAAUUACAUAUGCUUCGUACAACUUCAUGCCAUGAUUGCUAAGAUAUCUUGCAGGCAAAAAGAUUUUUGACAACACUGCAGUAACAACUAAGAUAUCUUGCCGUGUUCAAUUCAGAAUUUGUUCCUUUAGACAACACAAGUACCCCUACUGUUUGGGCCAUCUAGGAGAAGCAAACAAUUAGUUGGCUCCCUGCAUGUUUGUUACUGUUAGUCUGGUCUGGAAAUCAUCUAGAAACAAAGGCAUGCAUCCUAUGUAAAAGUCUUUUUUAGAAACAUCAUCAAUAAUAGCAAAUAUAUUAUUUUCAUUGUUUUCAUUUUUCAAUUCACAAUAUAGGUACUACCAUAAGGUCAAUGGAAAUAUAGUUUCCUUGCAAUUGCAUCAGUUGUUGCUACUAUUCUACUUAUAAAGGCCUCUGGCCAACCCGGCCAAAGAAGCCACCAAAAGGGGCAAAAGCAUCCUGGACGCUCGUUUCACCCUGAGCAGUAACAUCUUUUGACACUAGCCAUCCGAUUCUGUGAAUUUUUAUUUACCUUGAGUUGAUCUUUCAUGGUCUAUGACGAGUGGGGACCGUUCAUGUGCGGGACCAGCAGAAAGUGGCACCGGCAGGCGCUCGCCCGCGUCGCCCAUUUCCCUCUCUUCCCGUAGCCUUUUUUCACAGCUUGUGGAUAGAGCAUUGUCUAUCUGACUACAUGUCCUCUGCUUAGUCUAUUUCACUGCGUGCUGGUCCCUUUGGCUCGUGGGGCUGUUUGUCGGUGAGCUGGGUCUUUCCUCCAUCGGUGCUCAUAUGCUUCCUUUUUUACCGCCGCACGGCACUGUUGGACGGUCAGGCGCGGACCUGCGCGGGGCCCGCCGUAGUGGCCCUCAUCUCUCAAACUUGCCCUCCCCUUCCCGGUCAGACCCACGAAACCUCGCUUCCCUCCUUCCUUUCCGCCGUCCUCACCCUCGCCCUCGACUGCUUCCUCUCCUCUCACCUACUCCCUCUCCUCUGCCUGCUCUGUCGCGAGGGGCCAAUGGGGUUUCAGGUGGCCGACGUGUAUGGUUAGGGGUGCUCGACGUUCCUGCUGCGAUUCUUCCACGGUUUUACUCGACUCCCGUAGCCUGGUUGUUCCAUCCGUUCUGUCGCUUUGCACAAGCUGGUUGGUGUUUCCGUGCGUUGCUGCUUUGCUAGGAGCAUGCUCGCUACCUUUUCGGCCGUUCGGAUCAAGGUAGCAGGUAGCAGCAGAUCUGGUUAGGGAAACACAAGAAGGAGAAAAGCAACCAGAUAUUGCCGCUGGUUGAUCUCCUCAUUCAUUUUGCUUAGACAUGGGCUUGCGUUCUGUGGUGUCUUGCUUCCACUAAGAACUGCAUAGGAGUUAUGCUCGUCUAAAGAUUCUAGAAAGCUUCAUGAGAUGAUGUGCAAUGAUAAAACACAUGUGCACUAGCUGCGGCACUUCGAACCAUGCUAUGGUGCUUCACCUUCGGCUUCCCUUUGAAUGUUUGUACCCAUAUUUGCGCUGGACAUUGUCUUCCGAUCAUCUAUGAAGAUUGUGAUGAUUGCUACUGCAGCAUGGCUGCUUGCGCUGUUUAACGAAUGGGCAUGGGCGGGAAGCUACUUUCAAUCAAUAUAGAACCUGUGUUGCCCUAGACCAAGCUCAAGGGCUGGGAUAGAGUUGAAGUGAGGUUUUCUCCAUAUAUUACCUGGGGUAAUUUAUCAUGUUGGCUACUGCCUCCUGAGUUUGUACAUAAUGAGACUGUCAAGUAGUAACUUGUGUUGUAAAUAGAGUUUUCAAGCAAUAAAUUCAAGUUUGAAUCUGGUACUUGCGCCUUCUGAGUUUGUACAUAAUGUUGUACAGUGUUAUUGGACCUUCACUAAAUUUACAUAGAAUGUACAUACAAAUUUCACCACUUAGGUUCUGUAAUAAU